GUUCCUCCUCUUGACCAUGAAAGCAGUACCUUCUCUUGCGACAGCGUCAUCCUGAAAGGAUCAGACUCACCCUAAGUGGCAUGGCUCCCUUUAUCACAGCAUCGCCACCGCCAUGAAGAAACUGCAGCACAGUGAAGUUCAGGGACUUGUCAAUGUUCACAUGAGCCAAUUAGUGGUGUUGAUCACUGUCAACAGCCAUGUGCCAGGCAGUGCGCUGGAAUCUGGAGAUACGAUGGUUGUAAUAAGCCAACUCUGACCUGACGAGGUAGCUGAAAGAAUUGAGCUAAUGGAGUAAGUCGUGUUUCUUGUUUUUUAGCUUUUAGAAUACCCUUUUCUCCAGGGCCUUGGUUAGUCAUCAACACAGAAAAAAGCAGGAACGUUGAAGAGAGCUACAUAAUAAUAUUUAAUUUUUACUUUCUUCAUUAAAUACUAAUAUACUUUAAAACAGUGGCUGGGUAAAUGAAGAAAAAUUUCUUUAGUUUAAUCAUUUUUAAAAAAUCCACUGGAGUAAGCCACUAUAUGAUUAUUAUAUAGUAUUUCAAAUGCUUUCAAAAUAUAUUUAAUUGUAAUAAUAUAAUUACUUCUAUUAGAUUUGUAUCAAGGUCAGUGAAU